rnacentral:rRNA from 1 species
GGACCCGCACAAGCAGUGGAGUAUGUGGUUUAAUUCGACGCAACGCGAAGAACCUUACCAGGGUUUGACAUCCAACUAACGAAGCAGAGAUGCAUUAGGUGCCCUUCGGGGAAAGUUGAGACAGGUGGUGCAUGGUUGUCGUCAGCUCGUGUCGUGAGAUGUUGGGUUAAGUCCCGCAACGAGCGCAACCCUUAUUGUUAGUUGCUACGCAAGAGCACUCUAGCGAGACUGCCGUUGAUAAAACGGAGGAAGGUGGGGACGACGUCAAAUCAUCAUGCCCUUUAUAUCCUGGGCUACACACGUACUACAAUGGCGAAAACAGAGGGAAGCGAAAUAGCGAUAUGGAGCAAAACCCUAAAUAUCGUCUCAGUUCAGAUUGCAGGCUGCAACCCGCCUGCAUGAAGGUGGAAUUGCUAGUAAUCGCGGAUCAGCACGCCGCGGUGAAUACGUUCCCGGGUCUU